rnacentral:rRNA from 1 species
GAUGAACGCUGGCGGCGUGCCUAAUACAUGCAAGUCGAGCGAACGGACGAGAAGCUUGCUUCUCUGAUGUUAGCGGCGGACGGGUGAGUAACACGUGGAUAACCUACCUAUAAGACUGGGAUAACUUCGGGAAACCGGAGCUAAUACCGUAUAAUAUUUUGAACCGCAUGGUUCAAAAGUGAAAGACGGUCUUGCUGUCACUUAUCGCUGGAUCCGCGCUGCAUUAGCUAGUUGGUAAGGUAACGGCUUACCAAGGCAACGAUGCAUAGCCGACCUGAGAGGGGGAUAGGCCACACGGGAAGGGAGACAGGGUCAAGACGCCUAAGGGAGGCAGCAGUAGGGAAUCUGCGGCAAUGGGGGAAAGCAUGACGGAGCAACGCCGCGUGAGUGAUGAAGGUCUUCGGAUCGUAAAAAUCUGUUAUUAGGGAAGAACAGAUGUGUAAGUAAAUGUGCACAGCGUGACGGUACCUAAUCAGAAAGCAACGGCUAACUACGUG